rnacentral:lncRNA from 1 species
UGCCUUUUGACACAUUCACAAUCUUAAAAGUAGCACUGUAAAGAUGUCUACCUCUGUCUUUACUAUUUAUAUCCUUUUAUCGUGUUCUAGUUUACAACUUUGUCAACUCUGUUUUUUUUUGGACCAUAACAAGCCUUUAUUAUGGGGAGGAUCUACCAGGCUGUCUCUGAACAAAGGAAAGAAAGCAACAUGGCAGAACAGGGACUUUCUUUUAUAGGAGGGGGGUGGGGUUAGCCUUAGCUGGGGUGGAGUUGAGUGAGGUAGUAUUAAGAGAUUGGAGGAGCCUGUGACAUCUCUAGGUGGGGUUUGUGACAUCACUAGUUGCUAGGAAGUAGCAAGUAUCAGGUUACUCUUUCAGUGGGAGGAGGCAUGAUGGGAAGCAGCAGCCUGUCCUUUGUUGGAAGAAGCCAUAUUUUAACAUGGAGGCUGCUAUUCCAUGUUUGCAGCCAUCAUCUUCAGGAAAGGGAAAUCUAACAUUCCAGGCUGUUUUAUGGUUAUUGGGCAAAGGUCUCUUCUUUUGGAGCUGCUUCAAGCUGACAAAGGAGUGAAGAUUGGAGCUAAACCUUGCUCUGGUGGGGCAGCGGUAGGUGGGGGCUUCUUCCCUCUGCCGCAGUGGCCGGUACCCCACCAUAAUGAGUUCCAUGACUGUCUGGUUGGUAAAUACCCUCAUAUGUUCCUGCAAGAAAUUUUUGAAAACAGUGAAGCAGAAUCCUUCUUCAAGGAAAAAUGCAGGAGACCAGUGCUCUCUCUACAAGAUAAGCUUUCCAGGUGGACUUUGUUCGUUGGGGCCCAGCAGUUCAGGGCACACACCUAGAAUCAGAUGAGUGUAAAUAUGAACUCUGGAAGCAUUAGUAGCAAAAGUUUCUCACUCUGUGUCAAAAACUGCUUACCAAAUACCAAGGAGUGAAGCUGACAGAACUAGUUUAUCACCCAUCUGGAAAAAAAGUGAAACUACAAGCAGCAGCAUGUUUGUUUCUACAAGUAUCCUCAUGACUCCUUCUUUUAGC